rnacentral:rRNA from 1 species
UGGGGAAUUUUGCACAAUGGGGGAAACCCUGAUGCAGCGACGCCGCGUGAUUUAGAAGGCCUUCGGGUUGUAAAAAUCUUUUGUAUGGGAAGAAAAUGACAGUACCGUACGAAUAAGGACCGGCUAAUUACGUGCCAGCAGCCGCGGUAAUACGUAAGGUCCGAGCGUUGUCCGGAAUCAUUGGGCGUAAAGGGUACGUAGGCGGAUAAGCAAGUUAGAAGUGAAAUCCUAUAGCUCAACUAUAGUAAGCUUUUAAAACUGCUCAUCUUGAGGUAUGGAAGGGAAAGUGGAAUUCCUAGUGUAGCGGUGAAAUGCGCAGAUAUUAGGAGGAAUACCGGUGGCGAAGGCGACUUUCUGGCCAUAUACUGACGCUGAGGUACGAAAGCGUGGGUAGCAAACAGG